rnacentral:rRNA from 1 species
UACGGGGGGGAGCAAGCGUUGUUCGGAUUUACUGGGCGUAAAGGGCGCGUAGGCGGAUCGUUAAGUGUCUUGUGAAAUCCCACGGCUCACCCGUGGAACUGCUGGGCAUACUGGCGAUCUUGGGCCAACUAGGGGCAGUCGGAACAGACGGUGGAGCGGUGAAAUGCGUAGAUAUCAUUUGGAACGCCAAUGGUGAAAACAGGUAGCUGGGAGUGUGCUGACGCUGAGACACGAAAGCCAGGGGAGCAAACGGG